rnacentral:lncRNA from 1 species
GGCCACAUCCUCAGUAUAUGGAGGUCCCAGGCUAGGGGUCAAAUCAGAGCUGUAGCCACAGGCCUAUGCCACAGCACAGCAACACAGGAUCCAAGCCAAGUCAGCAGCCUACACCACAGCUCACAGCAAUGCCAGAUCCCCAACCCACCAAGUGAGGCCAGGGCUCGAACCGGCAUCCUCAUGGAUCCUAGUUGGGUUUGUUAACCGCUGAGCCACAAAGGUAACUCCCCCAAACCCAGUUUAUAUUGCUCCAGACAGACCCACUAUUCAAAUAGUUUGACUGGAUAGAAAGAAAAAAGUAAAUAGAUAGAAAUGCCAAGACACAUUAGAGGUAGACUCCCCUCACCCCCCACCCCUAUUUUUGGGUAAUGGGUAGCUUUUCCUGAUCCUGAUGGACUUCAUGGGAGAAAUUUAGGAGCAAUGAAAAUGAAACCAAUCUCACAGUUCAGGAUUACCUAUUUUCCCUGUGCAGUAGUAACUAGCAGUGAAUUUGCCUUUUUUUCAGUAGGAAAGAGAUCACAGGACAGUCAUCCAUCUAUCCAUUAACAGGAGUAGGCUGGACACCCGUUACCUGCGGGACUCUAUGGGGGUGUGAGGAUGGGUGGGGAACAGAACUGUGAAAAGACUAAUCCCAGGCCUUGCCCUCCUGGAGCAGAAGCUAGCAGGGAGGGCAGGUGAUGAACAGGGCACACGUGUCCUGGGAAAGAGCAAGCGGUGACAAGUUCCCAAAACCAUGGGUUCCAGUCCUCCUGCCGCCAUUUCUCAGUUCACUCUCCUACCCCCGUUUGAUAUUCUGAAAGGUGAGUAUUAAACCACCCACACCUAGGUAUCUGUACAGAAACCAGUUAUUCACGCCCUUCCAUUUCCUGGCACUAGACUAGGCACAAGGAAAGGGAGGCGAAUAGGAGACAAUGGACAGAAGCUCUGGACCCUACAGAGCAGGUUCUCAGGAAACACACAGGUUAUCAGGCAUCCAUCUCCCUGUCUGCAAAUGACCAGUCACACGUGCAGCCUUGCCUGUGCCCCAGUUUCUGCAUGACAGGAGCCCUGCCACUUCUGUUGCAGGCACCCUCCCCACCUUCCUCACCCCUCCCCUGCCUGCAGCCCGCAGCCCCAGCUUUCUGCAUCCUCUGGCCCCAGCUUUCCACAUCCUCCAGGUUGGUUUAGCAGGAAAGGACAGGAAUCAGCGGCCAUCGAUGGGCCUCCUUAACCUGCUCUCUGAACUCUCUGAGCAGUGGUGGCUGGCCAUCUCACCGAGAACGGAGCCUUUUCACUUCCAAGAUGCUGAAGUGCUGCCUUCUCAUCCCAGCUGGUGCCCCUCGGGAUCAGACACACACACCUGUGAUCCUCAGCCCAGCGGAGGUGGAAGUGGCUGAAAAACACCUAUCACAGCCACUCAGAACUUCAAAACAGCUUUGAAUCCAUUCAUUUUCAAAAAUGAUGCUUGGAAGUUUGAUAGGAUUUUUUUUUUUUUUUCAAGUUUAGAGGUAGGCGGGAACUUUGGACACUGAGGACAAAUGUAAAGAAAUUUAAGUGGGAAGCUGAACUUCCUCUGGCGUGCAGCACAAAUCAGCUGUGUGGUCACUGCACACCAAGCAUUUCUUAGUUUGGGUGAUGCUUCAAGAGAAAGGAAAGACCAAUGGCUUUCCCAGUCCCCUGGGAAGAAAAUACAUCACUUGCUGUAAAAGUAAAUCAGCAAGUGUAUCUGUAACUCCCCCUCCAUUCUCAGGGGACUUCAGAAAAGAGGAUAUUUGAAAUCCUUAUGGAGGGGCAACUAGAGAAUAAUUUUUAUCUGCUGCUGUUAGGAACCCAAUUAGAUGUAUUUUGAGGAAAGGGUGUAUGUAUAUUAGAUUUUAAUUAAGUAGUGUUAAUUAUAAUCUAUGAGAUGUGCUUACUGCUUAUCAGAUAAUUAUGAGAAAGCCAAUUUGGCUGCUGGCUUGUGACUAAUUAAGUGGAAUUAGUAGUGAUAAUUAUAGAUUUAAUUUGGGUUUGCCUUUAUUGGAAAAGGGGCAAAUCUGCUCAGGGGAGGGUGGGUCUGGGUGAAAGGGCAGAAUUCACAACCCACCCAGAGAACAUCCUGAGUUUUGAGAAUGAGAGGGUGAAGGACGAGGCCUCUGCUCUGCCUCGCCCCAAAUUCACCCUCUGGUUUGACCGCUUCUCCUCGGCUUUCCCCCUAGAGUCCCACCCCUUCCUCCUUCAGACAGCAGUUGGGGUCAGUGUCGCCAAGGAAGAGGUGGAUUAGACCGCAUGAGACCAGAGCAAUCUGCCAGGGGUCUUCCAGGCUGCAUCAGGGAGAAAAGCUUGCCAUGUCCUCAGUGAGCAGCCCUGCGGUGGGUCUGACCCACGUGGGAAGGACCCACAGCAGGCGGCACCCCAGCUCCAGGCCUGUCAUCGAUGCUUAUGGAGAUCAGUGCAGGCAUAUGUGAGCUGCUUUCUUUCCAGCCACCUUUCUUCCAGAAGGGAUACGAGACGAAUGCCAGACCUAUAAUUGGAGUACAGGGUCUACACCUUCAAAGGCCAUGGAGACUAACCUAAGCUGUAGACAAACUGAAAAAAUAAUCAUUUCUGCCCCAUGUUUCCAUUUGAUACACUAUUUUGACAUUUCAAUUACGUGUUUCCUCAUUUAACAUGUGCUUCUUCCUGGUCUCCAAUAUUAGACUUUGGAUUCCUCAAGAGCUGCAGCUGUAUCCAUUUUUUCAUUUUGUUGCCAUUCUCUACUAUCUAAUAAACUCCCCUGGGGCUGCUGCCCUGAGGGGUAGAGUUAAGUGAAAAAAAGUCCCACCCGCCAAACUGAUCCCAGGCUGUCACUCUGUACCAUUGUUAUCUUGGGCAAAUCACUUAAUCUACUUAAGCCUCAGGGCUGUUUUGUUGCCUUUUUUCCAACCUGUAAAAUAAAGAUAAUAACAGUGCUCCAUUUAAAGGACACAUAAGGAUUAAAUACAAUAACUUAUUUAGAGCUUAAGGCCAUGCCUGGCCCAUAGCAAGCCGAUGUAAACCAGUCUUCCUCAGGGUGAGCAGAAGCCCUGAACACCUGCAUCUGAGCCAUGUGGUGUGGACAUAACAGGUGCUCAUGCCUGUCUGUCACCCCAGAUCUCACGAGUCAGUAACUGGGACAGUGGCCCAGGGGGUCCAUUGCCCUUAAGACCCUCAGAUGAUUCUCAGGCACAGUGACCUCUCAGGGCCACCACAACAAAUGUAGUUCUCUUUGGGCACAGGUGAUGGUUCUCUCACAACACCAAACACAAGCACAUUCCUGCAUGGGCUCCCCCAUCUCAGCCCCAGACUCCCCCAACUCAGCCACAGUCCUGACCCAAGCCAGUUACAGGAGCUAAGCCAGGUAACGACCUGUAAAGCCCCACUGUCUGUGUUGUCUUAUUAGCAGAGUUGCAGCCCCUGCUGCACAGACUCUGGGGGAGGGGGAGGGGGUGUCCCUACACCUGCAGGGAGGUCAGAGGUCGGGAGGUAAUACUCCAGGCACACCCUACAGCAACUCAACUAAGGUGCUGCAGGGCCAGCCCUGCCCAAGCUGCUGAGCGUGGCACUUGGCCAUCUGGACCCAAAAUGAUCCUCACAUUCCCAGUGAGAUACUCGGUGGGACCAGGACAGCACACAGCAGUCCUUACUGGGUUCUGACUUCCUCUGCACUUCACCACCCUCAGCCCACAUCCCUGCUGGGAGCCAUCCCAGCCCCCAGCCCCAGAGUCCUGAACUCUGAACCUUGCCUUCCAGGCACAAACCAGGGAGCUGGCCAGGACAUGUGUCACUUCCCCAUCACAAAAAAGCGCAAAGUCCCAAGCGGGGCCUCCUCCUGACCCAAGUGAUCCUGCUCCAGGAGCCCUGACCUGAUACAUGGCGCUCCAGUCUCCCAAACUCCCAGAAUCUUUGCCUUUUAAAGACAAGGGUCCAAGUACAUGUGGCUUCCUGUCCCUCCGUGUGGUCACCUGAUCUCUGUCUCAGUCACUUAAGACCUCGUUAAUCUUAAGCUGGGUCACUUCUCUUAGGCCUGGCAUCCUCUGAGGUUGGCCCUAUUAGAAUUGUUCAUUUUACCUAGACUGAGGUCCCUGUGAUUACAUAACCUGCCUUCAUGCACAGACCCAGGAGGGAUGGACCCAGGCCUUGAACCUGGAGGCAGCUUCUAGAAUCCUCACCUUGAAACAUGACCUUCUGCUUGUCCUGAGUUCGGGCUUACUGAGAACUGGCGCCAUCCUUACCCCACAACACCCCAGAUGUUGUGGCCAAGUCGCCUCUGCGGACCCUGACUCCUGACUGUGAGUCCCCCAUGUGUCCCUUCCUCACUGAGGUGCCCAUAUGCCCUCAGGUGGUGCCUCUCGGUCGUUUUCUGAGGAUGAAAUCCUAACCAUUCUCCUAUAGUCUAGACCCCACAUUACCCAUGAAGCCAUCUCUUUCCUCUGAAAUCACUCCCAUACUAACUCACCACCCUGGUUAAUAUGCACCCAGCCACUGUCAUUCUGUCAUCCAGCAUCUGACUCUCCUAAGUUGCUUGCAAGCUACUUACAGAGGAUCAUGUAUUUAUCUCUUUUAAGCUUGAUGGCAUCUACCCCCGGGCUCUACCUAAAGCUGGUACAAUAGGAAGAGAUGAUUGAAUAAGUUUUAUCUAAAUGAACUGCAUAGUCUGAGGCUAUGAACAAAAAGUCUCACCAUCCUGCCUUUCUGGGAUUAGCAACAAUGCAAGGGCUUAUCCCCACCCCAACGUGGGGGUUGGGGGCUGGUGCACAAGAGGCUGGAGCCAGGUCUACGCAGACAUAGGUAAUGAGGCCUGAGGUUAUUACCAAGGUAGCAUAGCGCACUGAUGCGAAACAACUUUCUAGAGAUUGUGUGUGUGUAUGUGGAUAUGAAAGCACAGUACAAAUUCGGGGCCCGGAUUUCAUCAUGAAGCUAAUUCGAGACAUUCACUGGGCGGCCUCUAUAUGCAAAAAUACACAAGAUUUCCUGUCCCAAAAAGGCUCACACUAAUCAAAUAUUACAUUGACGAGUCCCUAAAGAGGAGGAGUCUAAUCAGCUCAUUUUGUAUUAGAGAACGCAAAGCCCAGAGAGGGAAGGUACUAGCCAAUGGCCACACAGCACAGCUGAUCCAGCAUCAGAAUCCAGUCCGUUCUACAGGAGCAGACACUGCCUGCCCUCCCAGAAUUACAGACACACAUGGAGCAGAGGCUGCUACUUCAGCUAGUGAGAAGGAAAGUGUUCAGGCCAUUAAGGGGUGUUGUUUUCUAGCAGGAAAGCCCUCGGAUCAUCAGGCCCCUUCAGUCUCUACCGAAAUCCAUAGUUUACGUAAAAUCUCCACCCAAGUGUGAACCAGCAGCUCAGACUACAAGUGUCAUAUUAGCGGUGUGUCUGAACUAAGUCUUGAGAGAAAGCUGAAAGCUCAAGAGGCUGAGAUGAGGAAACAGGGCAGGGGGGGAGCAGUAAACAGUCAGGUAGAGGAUGCGGUCACCACCUUACAACAAAAUAAAGCAAAUGCGAGGCAUUAGGCGUCCCAAGGGGAGGGAAGAGCACAGAGGGCAGGACAGGACGUGGAGGGCUUUCGACUCAGGGGCAGGCAAGUACAAGGGAUCGAAGCAGGAUUCCCAGACAGAAAUGAGGGAGGAGGCUGAGGUCAGAGCAAAGGGCUCGAAGCGUCAUGCGAAGGAGUCUGUCCAAAAGGAAUCCUGGAGGGCAGCGUGUGCAGUGGUCUCUGAACGAGACUUUCGAGCUCAGAGGCAGCCUGAGCAGCAAAGCAGGGACUGCGGAUAAGGCGCCCAGCCAGGCAGGAGGCAGGGACAGCAGGGAAAGUAUGGUUCUUGCACCCAAGGGACACCACCAGGCUGGCUCACCAGACUUGCAGACUGAUGGGAUCCAGAGGGACAGUGAGGGAGGAGAGGAGUCACAGGUAUUUGGGAUAAUGAUGAUGCCAGCACCGGUAUCCAGAGAAGGGAUGUUACCGAGUCGCUGCAGUCCCAAGUUUGAGGUGGCCAGUGGCAUCUAGCAAGGUGUUCCCUUGCCAGAGCAGCCAGCUCAUUUGGGCUCCAACUCCCCCUCCUAAAAUAAACCACGGGAAACAGUACUCAGGACAG